GGGAAUCUUCCACAAUGGGCGAAAGCCUGAUGGAGCAACGCCGCGUGGGUGAAGAAGGUUUUCGGAUCGUAAAACUCUGUUGUUAGAGAAGAACAAGGACGUUAGUAACUGAACGUCCCCUGACGGUAUCUAACCAGAAAGCCACGGCUAACUACGUGCCAGCAGCCGCGGUAAUACGUAGGUGGCAAGCGUUAUCCGGAAUUAUUGGGCGUAAAGAGCGCGCAGGUGGUUAAUUAAGUCUGAUGUGAAAGCCCACGGCUUAACCGUGGAGGGUCAUUGGAAACUGGUUGACUUGAGUGCAGAAGAGGAGAGUGGAACUCCAUGUGUAGCGGUGAAAUGCGUAGAUAUAUGGAAGAACACCAGUGGCGAAAGCGGCUCUCUGGUCUGUAACUGACGCUGAGGUUCGAAAGCGUGGGUAGCA
rnacentral:rRNA from 1 species